GAACUACAACCGCAUGCAGGAUUAUACCCAUUUAAUCUUUAAUAAUCUAAAAUGUACAACUUUUGUUUUUGAUCAAUGAAAGUCAGAUUUCCGGUAUUGAUAUGCUAGUAUGAUAAAGUGUUCAUUUUAUAUCCUCAUAGUUCUCGUACAUAUAAGAAAUAAAAAAAUUAUGCUGGUCUUGAUUUUGAUAAGAAUUAUUUGGCAAUUCAUAGCAUUUGUUUAUGUUACUGUUUUCUUUAGGUGACAUGUUAAUGGCCUAAUUAACACCUUUGAUGGUCUUUAAUCUGUUGAUCACUUUAUCAUGGGUUAAUUAGUGUUAUCACCACGAUUUACACGAGUCAAUGUUUACUUUGCAAUUUCCUUCAAUCUAGACUAUUUGUAACCCUCGUUUCUAAAGGCUUCAAUUUUUCAAUUUUAUUUUUUUUAAACAACUAAAAUCCACGAAUUUAAAAACCCACGAACAUGUAAAUAUUGCUCAAACCACGAAAAUUGAUACCCACGAAUUAAAGUACUUUAAUAGUA
rnacentral:lncRNA from 1 species